UCGCCCCAAAAUUUCAGUGGCGCCUCUACCUUAAUUCAUCCUCCCACCUCCGGUCCUCACUCCCGCCUCCUCCACCCUAGUCAUUUCUAAUUUCUUCCUCCAUCACAAAGCACAUUUCUUCUCUCCAAGCCUCCAACCUUACAAUUUCCUCUACAUUUUCACCGCCGCCGCCCAUCCGACGCCGACGCUUCCCUUCCUCCGCCGAAGAUGCCAUCGACGCCAAACGCCACCGCCGACCGCAAGCCUCCGCCGCUCCAACAAAAAGGGUAAUGAUGCAGAUUUGACAAAGAUUGGAGCAGUAUAAUUGCUUUAUGUUUCACAAAAUUGGGUUCUUUAAAUCUAAAUCUGUUUAUUAGGUUGUAAUUUUCUUCUCUGUUGUAGUUGAAUUAUUGCAUAUGUAUCACUUCUGCAGUUUUGCUGGCGUGACUAUUAAUGACUAGUCCUUUCUAGGUCUUUAUAUUUCAUUUAUUUGGUGUUAUGCUUUGAUUCAAUAAGUGCUAGUAUCCAGAGCAAUUAACUGUACAACUGAGGAACAAAGAUUUAUUAUUGUCGAAGUGGAUUCUAUACCGGUUGGCUUGCCCAGGCUUCACACUCUUCCUGAAGAUAAUAUUGAAACAAAUCAAGUAAGAUAAUUCAAAAAGUUCAAAUCCUAAGCCUCAUAAUGAUGCUUUGCUGAAGCAGGACUUUGCCACAAAUAUUCAGAGGGAAUUUUGAGCUAAUAUUUGAUGAGUUGGAUGAUACCUGAGACUUAAAGGCGCCAACAUUAGUAAUUAAUUUUAUUGUUAUUUUCAAAUAGAGUGUGGUUGUAUAUAUGGGUGUCAAAAUGUUUGAGUAACCGUUUAUAAAUGUAACUUCUUAGAUGCAUUAUACUGGUUUAAUAUUUGUUUUGUAGCUCAGCUUGGUCACUUUUAUUAUGUGUUUUCCUUGCUAUUUGUUUUGAAAUUUGAGUGUUUCUUUGCA